rnacentral:rRNA from 1 species
ACGAACGCUGGCGGCGUGCCUAAUACAUGCAAGUCGAACGCUUCUUUUUCCACCGGAGCUUGCUCCACCGGAAAAAGAGGAGUGGCGAACGGGUGAGUAACACGUGGGUAACCUGCCCAUCAGAAGGGGAUAACACUUGGAAACAGGUGCUAAUACCGUAUAACAAUCGAAACCGCAUGGUUUUGAUUUGAAAGGCGCUUUCGGGUGUCGCUGAUGGAUGGACCCGCGGUGCAUUAGCUAGUUGGUGAGGUAACGGCUCACCAAGGCGACGAUGCAUAGCCGACCUGAGAGGGUGAUCGGCCACAUUGGGACUGAGACACGGCCCAAACUCCUACGGGAGGCAGCAGUAGGGAAUCUUCGGCAAUGGACGAAAGUCUGACCGAGCAACGCCGCGUGAGUGAAGAAGGUUUUCGGAUCGUAAAACUCUGUUGUUAGAGAAGAACAAGGAUGAGAGUAACUGUUCAUCCCUUGACGGUAUCUAACCAGAAAGCCACGGCUAACUACGUGCCAGCAGCCGCGGUAAUACGUAGGUGGCAAGCGUUGUCCGGAUUUAUUGGGCGUAAAGCGAGCGCAGGCGGUUUCUUAAGUCUGAUGUGAAAGCCCCCGGCUCAACCGGGGAGGGUCAUUGGAAACUGGGAGACUUGAGUGCAGAAGAGGAGAGUGGAAUUCCAUGUGUAGCGGUGAAAUGCGUAGAUAUAUGGAGGAACACCAGUGGCGAAGGCGGCUCUCUGGUCUGUAACUGACGCUGAGGCUCGAAAGCGUGGGGAGCAAACAGGAUUAGAUACCCUGGUAGUCCACGCCGUAAACGAUGAGUGCUAAGUGUUGGAGGGUUUCCGCCCUUCAGUGCUGCAGCUAACGCAUUAAGCACUCCGCCUGGGGAGUACGACCGCAAGGUUGAAACUCAAAGGAAUUGACGGGGGCCCGCACAAGCGGUGGAGCAUGUGGUUUAAUUCGAAGCAACGCGAAGAACCUUACCAGGUCUUGACAUCCUUUGACCACUCUAGAGAUAGAGCUUCCCCUUCGGGGGCAAAGUGACAGGUGGUGCAUGGUUGUCGUCAGCUCGUGUCGUGAGAUGUUGGGUUAAGUCCCGCAACGAGCGCAACCCUUAUUGUUAGUUGCCAUCAUUUAGUUGGGCACUCUAGCAAGACUGCCGGUGACAAACCGGAGGAAGGUGGGGAUGACGUCAAAUCAUCAUGCCCCUUAUGACCUGGGCUACACACGUGCUACAAUGGGAAGUACAACGAGUCGCAAAGUCGCGAGGCUAAGCUAAUCUCUUAAAGCUUCUCUCAGUUCGGAUUGUAGGCUGCAACUCGCCUACAUGAAGCCGGAAUCGCUAGUAAUCGCGGAUCAGCACGCCGCGGUGAAUACGUUCCCGGGCCUUGUACACACCGCCCGUCAAGCCAUGGGAGCCGGGGGUACCUGAAGUGCGUAACCGCGAGGAGCGCCCUAGGGUAAAACUGGUGACUGGGGCU